CAGAUUUUUGUGUGUGUUACAUUCUUAAUGAAUUGUCUAAGAGCUGAAACUCUGUAAUAAUCUUUACCCUUUAUCUGGCAUUGUAUGCUCAGAUUUUUAUCAACAAAAAGUGGUGAGAAUGUUAUAAUUAAUUAGUUAUGACAUUAUAUUUUUGUGUUUUGUUGCAGAAACCAACUGUUGAGGUUCUAUCUCAACAUUCUCUAGAUUCAGAUGACAGCCAUAAACCGACUUCAUCCCUCCAACAGAUUGACAGCAGGACAAAUCGCUGGAAGUGGGUAUGUCUCAAGCUUCUUCCACUUGGUCCACUCCAAAGCGGGCUGCAAAGGGGAAGAAGUGGAAGCAGUUGAAUGACACAUGUUGCAUUUUGUAACUGGCAACAAAGUACCAGGUAAAAAAGAUUGUGAAGCCUCCCUCCAUAAAGAACUAGUAACUCUACAGGACAGAGAUUGGCUUGACAUCAAGUACUACAUCCAUAACAGAAUUAUAUUAAA